rnacentral:rRNA from 1 species
AGAUUUGACCUGGCUCAGAGACGCUGGCGGCGUGCCUAAACAGCAAUCGACGGCAGAGGGAGCUGCUUCCUGAGUUACGGCGGAGGGUGAGUACAGUGGGUAACUGCCUGUAGACUGGGAUACUCCGGGAAACGGGGCUAAACGGAUGGUUGUUUGAACGCAUGGUAACUAAAGGUGGCUUCGGCUCCACUUCAGAGGACCGCGGCGCAUAGCUAGUUGGUGAGGUACGGCUCACAAGGCAAGAUGCGUAGCCGACCUGAGAGGGUGACGGCCACACUGGGACUGAGACCGGCCCAGACUCGGGAGGCAGCAUAGGAUCUCCGCAAGGAGAAAUCUGAGGAGCAACGCCGCGUGAGUGAGAAGUUUCGGACGUAAAGCUCUGUGUUAGGAAACAAUCCGUUCGAUAAGGCGGUACCUGUCGGUACCUAACCAGAAAGCCACGGCUAACUACGUGCCAGCAGCCGCGGUAAUACGUAGGUGGCAAGCGUUGUCCGGAAUUAUUGGGCGUAAAGGGCUCGCAGGCGGUUUCAGUCUGAUGUGAAAGCCCCCGGCUCAACCGGGGAGGGUCAUUGGAAACUGGGGAACUUGAGUGCAGAAGAGGAGAGUGGAAUUCCACGUGUAGCGGUGAAAUGCGUAGAGAUGUGGAGGAACACCAGUGGCGAAGGCGACUCUCUGGUCUGUAACUGACGCUGAGGAGCGAAAGCGUGGGGAGCGAACAGGAGAUACCCUGGUAGUCCACGCCGUAAACGAUGAGUGCUAAGUGGGGGGUUUCCGCCCCGUGCUGCAGACGCAUUAAGCACUCCGCCUGGGGAGUACGGUCGCAAGACUGAAACUCAAAGGAAUUGACGGGGGCCCGCACAAGCGGUGGAGCAUGUGGUUUAAUUCGAAGCAACGCGAAGAACCUUACCAGGUCUUGACAUCCUCUGACAAUCCUAGAGAUAGGACGUCCCCUUCGGGGGCAGAGUGA